rnacentral:lncRNA from 1 species
AGGCAAUCAAAAUGUACUCAUAAAAUCACCACACAGUGGAAGAUACUCAUAAGAUCACUACUCUAAGUGCAUCUACAGACACUAAUAACACCAUGCAAUGGCCCCUAAACGUGCCAUGUUCCAACCAACAUGCACCAGUUCAACACCUAGCCCCGUGAGCACCACCCACACUUUGAUCACCACAUAGGAUCACGGUGUGGUCUCACGUUCUGACUAUGUCCAUGGUCGUCUGACCAGUUGGGCUGCACCGUCAUGCGGCUCUUGGCUAAGGGAGCGACCCAAGUACCUCUCCAAGCCUCUUCUCUAGGCUGUGUCUCGGCCAAGGAAUUCCCACCUGAAUUCCACCUGGCCUAAUCCUACAUGUAACAAUUCAUGGGCCUCUCCCGUAUCUCACGAAUAACUCACGGGCCACUCCUGUAGUUUUCCCUUUCGGGAUUUCACAUCUGAGCUCAACGGUUCUCGACCAUAUCUUGAUCCUCAUUACCCAUCCAUGACUUGUCUCGCACUGAGCUCAACGGUUUCUAGCCGUCUCUUGCUCUACAUUGCCCAUACGGGACUUACUUCUCAAGCUCAACGGUUACAUACUGUUUAUAUUCACCCUUGCAUUUUCAAGACUUGUCUCAUACCAAGCUCAAUGGUUUCCAACCGCAUCUUUCUCUACAUUACCCAUACGAGACUUACCUUACUAUGCGCAUAGACUCUUUGUCUACCGUUACUCGCCCGGCUCACCAUUCCUCUAAUAGAUUAGCUGGCACCUUUUCCCGACACAUCCGUGAAUACAGACUCUGUUGGCUGCAUCCUUAGAUUCCCCGUCUCUAAACCACAAGACAACAUGUCCUUAACCCCAGAGGGAUAAGUCUACCAUGCUUGCUUACCCUUUCUUAAACCUGCACCAACCACGAUCAGCAAGCUUUAGCGAACUAAGGGACUCAUCUCGAGUUUUUGAUGCGCUAAGAUGGAUCAUAAUCGUCUAUUUUCUACCCUCGCACCUAAACACGACCCUUCCAUCACGAAUUGCUCGACUCUCAAAUUUCUCUCUCUACACUUGUUCAUAAAUUU